AGGACAGUGACGAUGAAUUGUGUGUUCAAUUGUUGGAAGAGGUCGAAAAUAGUGAAUUAUGUAAAACUAAUGCCAAACAACAGGACAUGCUUGAAAUAGCCCCCAACAUUUUCGUGGAAAAUAAUCCAGCUGAAACGUCUAACAAAAGUAAGCGUGUACACGUUGGCACCACGGUCGGAACAAAAGAAAAAAGAAAAAAAGCGAAACUAAUAGAACCAGCAACUGAAACUUCACUUU